rnacentral:rRNA from 1 species
UACGGGAGGCAGCAGUGAGGAUAUUGGUCAAUGGCCGAGAGGCUGAACCAGCCAAGUAGCGUGCAGGACGACGGCCCUACGGGUUGUAAACUGCUUUUGCGGGAGGAUAAAGUGCGCCACGCGUGGCGCUUUGCAGGUAUCCCGUGAAUAAGGACCGGCUAAUUCCGUGCCAGCAGCCGCGGUAAU